GACAGAGGGUGCAAACGUUGUUCGGAAUUACUGGGUGUAAAGCGAGUGUAGGCGGUCUGCUAAGUCGGGUGUGAAAGCCCUGGGCUCAACCCAGGAAGUGCACUCGAAACUGGCGGGCUAGAGUAUCGGAGAGGUUGGUGGAAUUCUCGGUGUAGAGGUGAAAUUCGUAGAUAUCGAGAGGAACACCGGUGGCGAAGGCGGCGAUCUGGGCAGAUACUGACGCUGAGGUGCGAAAGCGUGGGGAGCAAACAGG
rnacentral:rRNA from 1 species